UAACUGAAGAGUUUGAUCAUGGCUCAGAUUGAACGCUGGCGGCAGGCUUAACACAUGCAAGUCGAGCGGGGGAAGGUAGCUUGCUCCUGGAUUCAGCGGCGGACGGGUGAGUAAUGCUUAGGAAUCUGCCUAUUAGUGGGGGACAACAUCUCGAAAGGGAUGCUAAUACCGCAU
rnacentral:rRNA from 1 species